GGUAUGAGGAGGUAAUUAAUAGACAAAGUUUAAACAUGAGUGUGGUCUUGGAUCCAUCUUUUCUGGGUUGGAAUGCCAAUUCUUUCAGCUUUUACUACCUGGGAAACUCUAGCCAAGUUACUCAAACAUUAUUUUCCCAACUGAAAAUAUAGAUUGCCUUGUUAAGUAAGUUAUUGGAUGUUUCUUUUUUUUUUUUUUUUUUUUGAGACGGAGUUUCACUCUUGUUACCCAGGCUGGAGUGCAAUGGCGCGAUCUUGGCUCACGGCAACCUCCGCCUCCUGGGUUCAGGCAAUUCUCCUGCCUCAGCCUCCUGAGUAGCUGGAAUUACAGGGAUGCGCCACCAUGCCCAGCUAGUUUUUUGCAUUUUUAGUAGAGACGGGGUUUCACCAUGUUGACUAGGAUGGUCUUGAUCUCUUGACCUCAUGAUCCACCCGCCUUGGCCUCCCAAAGUGCUGGGAUUACAGGCGUGAGCCACCGCGCCCAGCCGUUGAGCCACCGCGCCCAGCCGUUGAGCCACCACGCCCGGCCGUUGGAUGUUUCUAAAGUCAUUUCUAUGCCUGAGACAGAAUGACAAGCAUGUCACUACAGCUGUACCUGGCCCUGUGCUUGGGAUACCCUGUGUAUGGCUGGUGUGUUGCUUUCGUGCUCCAACAGUUUUUUCCUACUGGAUUCUUAAAUUCCCACAGACUCUGCCAUGAUUCCUCACACAAAUAUGGAUACAGGGGAAGACAGAAGUCCUGGAAGGCAAUCUACCCAGCUCUUCCCUUCAUAUCCAGGAGGACUACCUGCACCAUCUCUUUCUGGAUGAUAGCCACUGUCUGCAGAUACAACCACUGCUGGUAUUUCAGCAGCAGAUGCUGUGAUUCCAUUUCACCAGAACGGCAUUGGCUAGUCUUUGUCAACUUGCCUGCUUGUUGGGAGGACAUAAAAACACUUCAGAAACAUACUGGAAAUCUUCAUGAGUAGGCAG
rnacentral:lncRNA from 1 species